rnacentral:rRNA from 1 species
AGUCAUAUGCUUGUCUCAAAGAUUAAGCCAUGCAAGUCUCAGUACAAGCCACAUUAAGGUGAAACCGCAAAAGGCUCAUUAAAUCAGUUAUGGUUCCUUGGAUCGUACAAUCCAUUACUUGGAUAACUGUGGUAAUUCUAGAGCUAAUACAUGCAAACAGAAUCCCUCACAGAGAUGUGAGGGACGCUUUUAUUAGAUCAAAACCAAUCGGGGCUUCGGCUCCGCACUACUUGGUGACUCUGAAUAACUUACAGCUGAUCGCACGGUCUUAGUACCGGCGACGCAUCUUUCAAAUGUCUGACUUAUCAACUGUCGAUGGUAGAUUCUGCGCCUACCAUGGUUGUAACGGGUAACGGGGAAUCAGGGUUCGAUUCCGGAGAGGGAGCCUGAGAAACGGCUACCACAUCCAAGGAAGGCAGCAGGCGCGCAAAUUACCCAUUCCCAGAACGGGGAGGUAGUGACGAAAAAUAACGAUACGGGACUCAUCCGAGGCCCCGUAAUCGGAAUGAGUACACUUUAAAUCCUUUAACGAGUACCAAUUGGAGGGCAAGUCUGGUGCCAGCAGCCGCGGUAAUUCCAGCUCCAAUAGCGUAU